rnacentral:lncRNA from 1 species
AAAACGCUCCCCUUGAGUAGCAGAUUCAGGGGCAAGAGCUACCCCAAGAGUUACUCUCCCUCCAUACAUUCUUCCACUUAGUGGGUAAGAGUAACUAAUCAGACCAAUAUUUAGAAUAAUCAAUCAUAACUAUAAUCACAACUAUCUACUCCCCCUUUUUAUCCAUAAAGUUGAAAAGAAUAACCAAACAUCAGAGUUAGCAGAUCAGUCAAAAGCGAGUUUAUAAAC